rnacentral:rRNA from 1 species
CCCUUAGAUGUCCUGGGCCGCACGCGUGCUACACUGACGCCUACAGCGAGUACUUCCCAGCCCCGAGAGGUGGCUGGUAAUCAGCAAUAGGCGUCGUGAUGGGGAUAGAUCUUUGGAAUUAUGGAUCUUGAACGAGGAAUGCCUAGUAAGCGCAGGUCAUUAGCCUGCGCUGAUUAAGUCCCUGCCCUUUGUACACACCGCCCGUCGCUCCUACCGAUUUCGAGUGGUCCGGUGAAUCUUUCGGACUGCGCGCGGCCUCGUGCCGCGUCGCGGAAAGUCAGGUAAACCUUAUCACUUAGAGGAAGGAGAAGUCGUANCA